rnacentral:ncRNA from 2 species
GUAUGGUCCGCUUGAGCCAGUCGAACCCAACGCGGUUGGGUCAGGGAAUCCGGUGUGAACCCGGAACUGACGCGCAGCGGUGAGGAGGACAGGCGGAGCAACGGCCACUGGCCCCACGCGGGCUGGGAAGGCGCUCCGGCUGGAUGAUCCCGAGUCCGAAGACCUGCUGGCUCGGGCUCUCGUGG